rnacentral:rRNA from 1 species
UACGUAGGGUGCAAGCGUUAAUCGGAAUUACUGGGCGUAAAGCGUGCGCAGGCGGCUUUGCAAGACAGAUGCGAAAUCCCCGGGCUCAACCUGGGAACUGCAUUUGUGACUGCAAGGCUAGAGUACGGCAGAGGGGGAUGGAAUUCCGUGUGUAGCAGUGAAAUGCGUAGAUAUGCGGAGGAACACCAAUGGCGAAGGCAAUCCCCUGGGCCUGUACUGACGCUCAUGCACGAAAGCGUGGGGAGCAAACAGG